rnacentral:rRNA from 1 species
AGAGUUUGAUCCUGGCUCAGAUUGAACGCUGGCGGCAUGCCUUACACAUGCAAGUCGAACGGCAGCGCGGGGCAACCUGGCGGCGAGUGGCGAACGGGUGAGUAAUAUAUCGGAACGUACCCUGGAGUGGGGGAUAACGUAGCGAAAGUUACGCUAAUACCGCAUACGAUCUAAGGAUGAAAGUGGGGGAUCGCAAGACCUCAUGCUCCUGGAGCGGCCGAUAUCUGAUUAGCUAGUUGGUGGGGUAAAGGCCUACCAAGGCAUCGAUCAGUAGCUGGUCUGAGAGGACGACCAGCCACACUGGAACUGAGACACGGUCCAGACUCCUACGGGAGGCAGCAGUGGGGAAUUUUGGACAAUGGGCGAAAGCCUGAUCCAGCAAUGCCGCGUGAGUGAAGAAGGCCUUCGGG